GUUCUUUUGGUGUAGUGGUUAUCACAUCCGCUUAACACGCGGAAGGUCCCAGGUUCAAUCCCUGGCAGGAACA
rnacentral:tRNA from 1 species